rnacentral:siRNA from 1 species
AGCUAACAACACUUUGUCUCUCUC